rnacentral:misc_RNA from 1 species
GAUGAAGAACGCAGCGAAAUGCGAUAAGUAAUGUGAAUUGCAGAAUUCAGUGAAUCAUCGAAUCUUUGAACGCACAUUGCGCCCGCCAGUAUUCUGGCGGGCAUGCCUGUUCGAGCGUCAUUUCAACCAUCAAGCCCCCGGCUUGUGUUGGGGACCUGCGGCUGCCCGCAGGCCCUGAAAACCAGCGGCGGUCUCGCUGUCACACCGAGCGUAGUAAGCAUUAUCUCGCUCAGGGCGUGCUGCGGGUUCCGGCCGUUAAAUGAAAAGCCUUCGUAGCCCAAGGUUGACCUCGGAUCAGGUAGGAAGACCCGCUGAACUUAAGCAUAUCAAUAAGCGGAGGA